UACGGGGGGGGCAAGCGUUGUUCGGAAUUACUGGGCGUAAAGGGCGCGUAGGCGGGUGGACAAGUCUCUCGUGAAAGCCCACGGCUCAACCGUGGAAUUGCGGGCGAUACUGUCUGUCUUGAGUCCGGGAGAGGAGGGUGGAAUUCCCAGUGUAGCGGUGAAAUGCGUAGAUAUUGGGAGGAACACCGGUGGCGAAGGCGGCUCUCUGGACCGGUACUGACGCUGAGGCGCGAAAGCUAGGGGAGCAAACGGG
rnacentral:rRNA from 1 species